rnacentral:tRNA from 1 species
UCCACUACUCAGUUGGUAGAGUAUAAAGCUCUUAACCUUAUGGACGUGGGUUCAAGCCCCAUGGUGGAG